rnacentral:rRNA from 1 species
ACAAACCGGAGGAAGGUGGGGAGUGACGUCAAGUCAUCAUGGCCUUACGGCCUGGGCUACACACGUGCUACAAUGGUCGGUACAAAGGGUUGCCAAGCCGCGAGGUGGAGCUAAUCCCACAAAACCGAUCGUAGUCCGGAUCGCAGUCUGCAACUCGACUGCGUGAAGUCGGAAUCGCUAGUAAUCGUGAAUCAGAAUGUCACGGUGAAUACGUUCCCGGGCCUU